ensembl:miRNA
UUCGUGUCCGAGCUAAUUCAGGGAUAUUUGAGGAGAGGUUAUCCGUGUUCUGUUCGCUUCGUUCAUCAUGAAUAAUACAUGGUUAACCUCUUUUUGAAUAUCAAACUCU